UUAAGUUCAGGCGGUAGUCCUACCUGAUCUGAGGUCAAGUCAGAGAUUUAAAGUCCACACACGGUCUGUCCUAAUGGAGCUCGUCCGCGUAUAAGACCGAUGACUUUGAGGCUACGUCCGGGGACGACGCCCAAUACAAACUCGAUAGAGUUUAUGGUUUUAAAUGACGCUCAGACAGGCAUGCCUCCAAGUUACUGGAG
rnacentral:misc_RNA from 1 species